CCUACGGGAGGCAGCAGUAAGGAAUCUUCCACAAUGGACGAAAGUCUGAUGGAGCAACGCCGCGUGCAGGAUGAAGGCUUUCGGGUCGUAAACUGCUUUUAUAUGGGAAGAUUAUGACGGUACCAUAUGAAUAAGGACCGGCUAACUACGUGCCAGCAGCCGCGGUAAUACGUAGGGUCCAAGCGAUAUCCGGAAUUACUGGGCGUAAAGCGUGUGUAGGUGGAUUAAUAAGUGUGAUGCGAAAUCCGGCGGCUCAACCGUUUGGACUGUGUCGCAUACUGUUAGUCUAGAGGACGGCAGAGGUAAGUGGAAUUACGGGUGUAGCAGUGAAAUGCGUAGAUAUCCGUAGGAACACCAAUGGCGAAGGCAGCUUACUGGGCCACACCUGACACUGAGACACGAAAGCGUGGGGAGCGAAACAGGAUUAGAUACCCUGGUAGUCCACGCCGUAAACGAUGCAUACUAUUAGUAUGGGGUAUCGACCCCCUGUGCUGAGAAGACUAACGACGAUAAGUAAUAGCGCCGCGGAGGAGAGACGACGAAGAACGUAAACUAAACUAAAUAAGAAGUAGUAGGAGAGAGAGAGACGACGACGAACGAACGAACGGGAAGGAGGAGG
rnacentral:rRNA from 1 species